UGCAAGUCGAACGAACUCUGGUAUUGAUUGGUGCUUGCAUCAUGAUUUACAUUUGAGUGAGUGGCGAACUGGUGAGUAACACGUGGGAAACCUGCCCAGAAGCGGGGGAUAACACCUGGAAACAGAUGCUAAUACCGCAUAACAACUUGGACCGCAUGGUCCGAGCUUGAAAGAUGGCUUCGGCUAUCACUUUUGGAUGGUCCCGCGGCGUAUUAGCUAGAUGGUGGGGUAACGGCUCACCAUGGCAAUGAUACGUAGCCGACCUGAGAGGGUAAUCGGCCACAUUGGGACUGAGACACGGCCCAAACUCCUACGGGAGGCAGCAGUAGGGAAUCUUCCACAAUGGACGAAAGUCUGAUGGAGCAACGCCGCGUGAGUGAAGAAGGGUUUCGGCUCGUAAAACUCUGUUGUUAAAGAAGAACAUAUCUGAGAGUAACUGUUCAGGUAUUGACGGUAUUUAACCAGAAAGCCACGGCUAACUACGUGCCAGCAGCCGCGGUAAUACGUAGGUGGCAAGCGUUGUCCGGAUUUAUUGGGCGUAAAGCGAGCGCAGGCGGUUUUUUAAGUCUGAUGUGAAAGCCUUCGGCUCAACCGAAGAAGUGCAUCGGAAACUGGGAAAACUUGAGUGCAGAAGAGGACAGUGGAACUCCAUGUGUAGCGGUGAAAUGCGUAGAUAUAUGGAAGAACACCAGUGGCGAAGGCGGCUGUCUGGUCUGUAACUGACGCUGAGGCUCGAAAGUAUGGGUAGCAAACAGGAUUAGAUACCCUGGUAGUCCAUACCGUAAACGAUGAAUGCUAAGUGUUGGAGGGUUUCCGCCCUUCAGUGCUGCAGCUAACGCAUUAAGCAUUCCGCCUGGGGAGUACGGCCGCAAGGCUGAAACUCAAAGGAAUUGACGGGGGCCCGCACAAGCGGUGGAGCAUGUGGUUUAAUUCGAAGCUACGCGAAGAACCUUACCAGGUCUUGACAUACUAUGCAAAUCUAAGAGAUUAGACGUUCCCUUCGGGGACAUGGAUACAGGUGGUGCAUGGUUGUCGUCAGCUCGUGUCGUGAGAUGUUGGGUUAAGUCCCGCAACGAGCGCAACCCUUAUUAUCAGUUGCCAGCAUUAAGUUGGGCACUCUGGUGAGACUGCCGGUGACAAACCGGAGGAAGGUGGGGAUGACGUCAAAUCAUCAUGCCCCUUAUGACCUGGGCUACACACGUGCUACAAUGGAUGGUACAACGAGUUGCGAACUCGCGAGAGUAAGCUAAUCUCUUAAAGCCAUUCUCAGUUCGGAUUGUAGGCUGCAACUCGCCUACAUGAAGUCGGAAUCGCUAGUAAUCGCGGAUCAGCAUGCCGCGGUGAAUACGUUCCCGGGCCUUGUACACACCGCCCGUCACACCAUGAGAGUUUGUAACACCCAAAGUCGGUGGGGUAACCUUUUAGGAACCAGCCGCCUA
rnacentral:rRNA from 1 species